rnacentral:lncRNA from 1 species
GAAAAGAUGCAGUAUUAACAGACUUCAAUGCUGAACGUAACAAACCUACAAGGUCAAAAUAUAGAGUUGGUGCAUAGAUAUCAAAGUCUACACGCAAUCUAGAGAUCGAAACAACUACUAUUUGUCUUGAGGUUGUUCGCAUAAUCCUAUCAUGCUCGAGUUGAAGUCUUCUUACUUGUCCUAAUUGUCUACAUCAAGCAUGGACUACAGAGGAAAGUAGUACUAUAUUUUCUUUCUAAUUAUCCACUAUUUAAACUUUUCAAUUAAUUCUGAAGUAUUGACCAAGCUGACACUGAUUAACUCUAUUUAAGUACCAAGUUCCUAAGCCUAGCAAAUACUCAAAUUUAAGAAUAAAAAAUGAAUUAAAAGAAUUACAGAAAAGGAGGGAAAAGUUUUACUUCCACUUAUUCAGAAUUCUAGGCUUCUUAAAUUAGUUUUUGAUCAGGUAAAACCUACCAACUCGAUGAUCUGAUUACUAAGAGUUCCUUGUGGUAAUUUCUUACGUGAAGUUAUCUUAAAUUAGUUUUUGAUCAGGUAUAAAACUACCAACUCGAUGAUCUGAUUACUAAGAGUUCC